rnacentral:rRNA from 1 species
UACGAAGGGGCUAGCGUUGCUCGGAAUCACUGGGCGUAAAGCGCACGUAGGCGGAUUGUUAAGUCAGGGGUGAAAUCCUGGAGCUCAACUCCAGAACUGCCUUGAUACUGGCGAUCUUCGAGUCCGGGAGAGGUGAGUGGAACUGCGAGUGUAGAGGUGAAAUUCGUAGAUAUUCGCAAGAACACCAGUGGCGAAGGCGGCUCACUGGCCCGGUACUGACGCUGAGGUGCGAAAGCGUGGGAGCAAACAGG